GGGUUCGUGACUGGGGUGAAGUCGUAACAAGGUAGCCGUAUCGGAAGGUGCGGCUGGAUCACCUCCUUUCUGG
rnacentral:rRNA from 1 species